GCCUCAGUAACGGCGAGUGAAGCGGCAACAGCUCAAAUUUGAAAUCUGGCCCUCUCAGGGUCCGAGUUGUAAUUUGGAGAAGAUGCUUCGGGUGUGGCCCCGGUCUAAGUUCCUUGGAACAGGACGUCACAGAGGGUGAGAAUCCCGUACGUGACCGGUGGCCUCCCCCGUGUGAAGCUCUUUCGACGAGUCGAGUUGUUUGGGAAUGCAGCUCAAAAUGGGUGGUAAAUUUCAUCUAAAGCUAAAUAUUGGCCAGAGACCGAUAGCGCACAAGUAGAGUGAUCGAAAGAUGAAAAGCACUUUGGAAAGAGAGUUAAACAGUACGUGAAAUUGUUGAAAGGGAAGCGCUUGCAACCAGACUUGCGCGCGGCCGAUCAUCUGGUGUUCUCACCGGUGCACUCGGCCGCGCUCAGGCCAGCAUCGGUUUGGGUGGCUGGAUAAAGGCCUCGGGAAUGUGGCUCUCUUCGGGGAGUGUUAUAGCCCGAGGUGCAAUGCAGCCUACCCGGACCGAGGACCGCGCUUCGGCUAGGAUGCUGGCGUAAUGGUUGUAAGCGACCCGUCUUGAAACACGGACCAAGGAGUCUAACAUCUAUGCGAGUGUUUGGGUGUCAAACCCAUACGCGUAAUGAAAGUGAACGGAGGUGAGAACCCUUAAGGGUGCAUCAUCGACCGAUCCUGAUGUCUUCGGAUGGAUUUGAGUAAGAGCAUAGCUGUUGGGACCCGAAAGAUGGUGAACUAUGCCUGAAUAGGGUGAAGCCAGAGGAAACUCUGGUGGAGGCUCGCAGCGGUUCUGACGUGCAAAUCGAUCGUCAAAUUUGGGC
rnacentral:rRNA from 1 species